GACGAACGCUGGCGGCGUGCUUAACACAUGCAAGUCGAGCGGUAAGGCCCUUUCGGGGGUACACGAGCGGCGAACGGGUGAGUAACACGUGGGUGACCUGCCCUCAGCUCUGGGAUAAGCCUGGGAAACCGGGUCUAAUACUGGAUAUGACUCCAUGACGCAUGUUGUGGGGUGGAAAGCCUUGUGCGGCUGAGGAUGGGCCCGCGGCCUAUCAGCUUGUUGGUGGGGUGAGGCCUACCAAGGCGACGACGGGUAGCCGGCCUGAGAGGGCGACCGGCCACACUGGGACUGAGACACGGCCCAGACUCCUACGGGAGGCAGCAGUGGGGAAUCUUGCGCAAUGGGCGAAAGCCUGACGCAGCGACGCCGCGUGAGGGAUGACGGCCUGGUGUAACU
rnacentral:rRNA from 1 species